GGAAUCCGUCCUUGCCUUGCUCGCGGGUUGGGCUUUACAAUGGUUAUUGGAGGCAACCAGGUGAAAAGGCCCAGCCUCUCGACGAACAUGUGAACGGGUCGGAUCGUAGCCAUCACGGCCCGAUGCGGUAAUGGGACGCCUCACCAAGUCCUCGUAGAUAAAUGGAGGGUAGGAUGCCUGUUUUGUCCCGAUAAGAAUCCCCGUAUGAUUCAUCUCCGGCCGCCGAGAGGAUCUCCGAGAAGCGCUACGAUCUUGGAGGGGCCUCAAGGACAAGGCGCAGGCAGCAUGCGGUAAGCCUACGAAGGUGCAAACGGAGAACAACUCACGCCGCGGUUUUUGAAAUUAUUGUCGACCCUUGCCAGCAAGUCCACGACCGCCUGGUUCGAUUUCAUCGAAGAAGACGAGGAUGGAGUUGGUCCCUCGCCCUUUUUCGUUUUGUUUCUGCUUCUCUUGCUUCUUCUUGGCAAUGGAAUCUGCUCACCCCAUCGUCGUUAGGGAUUGAAAGGUAUGGAGACAGUGGUUCCUACAUCAUGUGAUUAGUGAUAAUUUUGCUUCCUUAUGUUGCCCAAAGAAGUCACUGGAAAACCUUUCCCCACCUUCUCCUCCCCUCUUUUUUUUUUUUUGUUUCCGAGUCAGAAGGUUUUGAGGGUUUAUUCUCUUUGGUAUUUGUUAAAUAUAAAAGUAGAGGGGUGUUGUUGGUACGGCAUUUCUAUGCAUGCAAAGAAACAAACAUGUGAGAUUAAUAUAUGCCAAGUGUUGUCCAUAUUUUCUAUUUUGAAUACAGCUUGACAUACUCCUGUUGGUAUUGAA